rnacentral:rRNA from 1 species
UUAAGCGACUAAGCGUACACGGUGGAUGCCCUGGCAGUCAGAGGCGAUGAAGGGCGUGCUAAUCUGCGAUAAGCGCCGGUAAGGUGAUAUGAACCGUUAUAACCGGCGAUACCCGAAUGGGGAAACCCAGUGUGAUUCGUCACACUAUCAUUAACUGAAUCCAUAGGUUAAUGAGGCGAACCGGGGGAACUGAAACAUCUAAGUACCCCGAGGAAAAGAAAUCAACCGAGAUUCCCCCAGUAGCGGCGAGCGAACGGGGAGGAGCCCAGAGCCUGAAUCAGCAUGUGUGUUAGUGGAAGCGUCUGGAAAGGCGCGCGAUACAGGGUGACAGCCCCGUACACAAAAGCGCAUGUGCUGUGAGCUCGAUGAGUAGGGCGGGACACGUGGUAUCCUGUCUGAAUAUGGGGGGACCAUCCUCCAAGGCUAAAUACUCCUGACUGACCGAUAGUGAACCAGUACCGUGAGGGAAAGGCGAAAAGAACCCCGGCGAGGGGAGUGAAAAAGAACCUGAAACCGUGUACGUACAAGCAGUGGGAGCCCCACCACCAAAGCAUUCUCUGGUGUUGAAGGCCCUGCAAAGCAGCAUCGCGGUGGCGGAGCGUCGUUUGCGACGCCCAACACACAAAACAAGCGGUGAGUGCUUUGGGGUGGGGUGACUGCGUACCUUUUGUAUAAUGGGUCAGCGACUUAUAUUCUGUAGCAAGGUUAACCGAAUAGGGGAGCCGGAGGGAAACCGAGUCUUAAUUGGGCGUUAAGUUGCAGGGUAUAGACCCGAAACCCGGUGAUCUAGCCAUGGGCAGGUUGAAGGUUGGGUAACACUAACUGGAGGACCGAACCGACUAAUGUUGAAAAAUUAGCGGAUGACCUGUGGCUGGGGGUGAAAGGCCAAUCAAACCGGGAGAUAGCUGGUUCUCCCCGAAAGCUAUUUAGGUAGCGCCUCGUGAAUUCAUCUCCGGGGGUAGAGCACUGUUUCGGCUAGGGGGCCAUCCCGGCUUACCAACCCGAUGCAAACUGCGAAUACCGGAGAAUGUUAUCACGGGAGACACACGGCGGGUGCUAACGUCCGUCGUGAAGAGGGAAACAACCCAGACCGCCAGCUAAGGUCCCAAAGUCAUGGUUAAGUGGGAAACGAUGUGGGAAGGCCCAGACAGCCAGGAUGUUGGCUUAGAAGCAGCCAUCAUUUAAAGAAAGCGUAAUAGCUCACUGGUCGAGUCGGCCUGCGCGGAAGAUGUAACGGGGCUAAACCAUGCACCGAAGCUGCGGCAGCGACACUCAGGUGUUGUUGGGUAGGGGAGCGUUCUGUAAGCCUGUGAAGGUGUGUCGUGAGGCAUGCUGGAGGUAUCAGAAGUGCGAAUGCUGACAUAAGUAACGAUAAAGCGGGUGAAAAGCCCGCUCGCCGGAAGACCAAGGGUUCCUGUCCAACGUUAAUCGGGGCAGGGUGAGUCGACCCCUAAGGCGAGGCCGAAAGGCGUAGUCGAUGGGAAACGGGUUAAUAUUCCCGUACUUGGUGUUACUGCGAAGGGGGGACGGAGAAGGCUAUGUUGGCCGGGCGACGGUUGUCCCGGUUUAAGCGUGUAGGUGUGUGUUCCAGGUAAAUCCGGUUCACUUUAACACUGAGGCGUGACGACGAGGCACUACGGUGCUGAAGCAACAAAUGCCCUGCUUCCAGGAAAAGCCUCUAAGCAUCAGGUAACAUCAAAUCGUACCCCAAACCGACACAGGUGGUCAGGUAGAGAAUACCAAGGCGCUUGAGAGAACUCGGGUGAAGGAACUAGGCAAAAUGGUGCCGUAACUUCGGGAGAAGGCACGCUGACACGUAGGUGAAGUGAUUUACUCACGGAGCUGAAGUCAGUCGAAGAUACCAGCUGGCUGCAACUGUUUAUUAAAAACACAGCACUGUGCAAACACGAAAGUGGACGUAUACGGUGUGACGCCUGCCCGGUGCCGGAAGGUUAAUUGAUGGGGUCAGCGCAAGCGAAGCUCCUGAUCGAAGCCCCGGUAAACGGCGGCCGUAACUAUAACGGUCCUAAGGUAGCGAAAUUCCUUGUCGGGUAAGUUCCGACCUGCACGAAUGGCGUAAUGAUGGCCAGGCUGUCUCCACCCGAGACUCAGUGAAAUUGAACUCGCUGUGAAGAUGCAGUGUACCCGCGGCAAGACGGAAAGACCCCGUGAACCUUUACUAUAGCUUGACACUGAACAUUGAGCCUUGAUGUGUAGGAUAGGUGGGAGGCUUUGAAGUGUGGACGCCAGUCUGCAUGGAGCCGACCUUGAAAUACCACCCUUUAAUGUUUGAUGUUCUAACGUGGACCCGUAAUCCGGGUUGCGGACAGUGUCUGGUGGGUAGUUUGACUGGGGCGGUCUCCUCCUAAAGAGUAACGGAGGAGCACGAAGGUUGGCUAAUCCUGGUCGGACAUCAGGAGGUUAGUGCAAUGGCAUAAGCCAGCUUGACUGCGAGCGUGACGGCGCGAGCAGGUGCGAAAGCAGGUCAUAGUGAUCCGGUGGUUCUGAAUGGAAGGGCCAUCGCUCAACGGAUAAAAGGUACUCCGGGGAUAACAGGCUGAUACCGCCCAAGAGUUCAUAUCGACGGCGGUGUUUGGCACCUCGAUGUCGGCUCAUCACAUCCUGGGGCUGAAGUAGGUCCCAAGGGUAUGGCUGUUCGCCAUUUAAAGUGGUACGCGAGCUGGGUUUAGAACGUCGUGAGACAGUUCGGUCCCUAUCUGCCGUGGGCGCUGGAGAACUGAGGGGGGCUGCUCCUAGUACGAGAGGACCGGAGUGGACGCAUCACUGGUGUUCGGGUUGUCAUGCCAAUGGCACUGCCCGGUAGCUAAAUGCGGAAGAGAUAAGUGCUGAAAGCAUCUAAGCACGAAACUUGCCCCGAGAUGAGUUCUCCCUGAGACUUAGAGUCUCCUGAAGGAACGUUGAAGACGACGACGUUGAUAGGCCGGGUGUGUAAGCGCAGCGAUGCGUUGAGCUAACCGGUACUAAUGAACCGUGAGGCUUAACCUU